AUCUCAUAGUAUUCUACAAUACUAUAUAUACGCAACUCUGGUCUAACAUCUAUUCACAUGCAAACAAGGUCUGACAAGACAGGACGGGAUCUCAGUCCUCAUCCGGUUCGUACUCGGGGUUAUCCUCGGGGUCCUCCUCCAUGUACUCCUCUUCAGUUUCCUCAUCAGGGACCUCCUCAUCAGAUUCAUGCUCCUUAGGCUCCUCAUCCACGUCCUGAAAUGGUUAUUCAAUAACCACUGAGACAACGUCUCAGCAAGUUCUAUCUCCUAAGACCCAAUUAGUAAACUAAUACACCUUAGGGCUGCCUAUGCACAACAUGAGUUAGAAGACUUACCUUGGCCUCAUAUUUCACCUGCAUAUUAGCACAAAUCAAAUAGACACCCAAGCAAUCACAUCACAGAUCGAAGCAUCGAUCUAAUCGACUUAGCCGAUUACACACCAAGAAGACCAUCCAUGGUCAUCUCCAUUUCAUCAUUCAAUUCGCAACAUCAAAUCAAGGAAAUGAUCAAUCACAUUAAAUCACACUCAGAUCAAAUCAUCAAUCAAUCGACCUAGUCGAUCACAUGUCAUCCAAAUUAUCGCUUGAUCAACCCUUUAUCAUACCGUACUAUCUCAAGAUGAUCUAUAGGAUUAUCGAGCCGGUAUAUCAUACCGUACUGUCUCAAGAUAAUCUGUAGAGUCACCGAGCCGAUAGAUCAUACCGUCCUGUCUCAAGAUGCUCCAUGGAGUCAUCGAGCCGGUAUACACACAAUUUAUUAUACCGUCCUAUCUCCAAAUGCUCCGUAGAGUCAUCGAGCCGGUAUACACACAAUUUAUCAUACCGUCUUGUCUCCAGAUGCUCCGUAGAGUCAUCGAGCCAGUAUACACACAAUUUAUCAUACCAUCCUGUCUCCAGAUGCUCCGUAGAGUCAUCGAGCCGGUAGAUCAUAUCAUUCCAAGCAAAUAAUCAAAUAACCAGUUUUAUCAUUCCCGAUAAAAUGCCAUGAGUGGAUACUCGAUUGGCCUUAGCCAAAACAUAAUAAUUUCCUUUUUAUAAAUUCCACCAUUUUCUGUAGCCCACUCAGAUCCUUUUGGCAUUAUCAACCGAAGCCUAGUUCUUUUUCAAUUAAUAACCAAAGAUUAUUCAAUUAAAGAAUAAUUCAUUCUUUCAAAAAUAAUUCAAUUCAGCAUGAAAUAGGGCUCAAUUAAAUAAACGGACCGCACCACGACAAUCAGCACGAAAUUCCGAUCAUCGGCCAUCCCGGUUGAAUUUCCGGAAAAUAAAUAAUUAAAUAAUUAAUUUCAAAAAUUAAAUAAAUAAAUACAAUAAAUUCAAUUUAGCACAAUAUAAAACUCAAUUAAAUAAACGAACUGCAGCAUAAAAUCCCGGUCACUGGCCAUCCCAGUUGAAUUUCCGGGAAAUAAAUAAUUAAAUAAUUAAUUUCGAAAAUUAAUAUUUAAUUCCUAAAAAUACCACCUAGGCAUGAAUCACUUAAUUAACACCCGAUAAGGGACGGGAAAAAUCCCAAGAAGCAUCCAAUAAAUACUACAGGCAAUUCUCUAUCUAAUUACACUAAUCAUACAACUAAUAUACAAAGCAAUUAACUAAUAAUCACUAAUAAAUUCUAAUCUAACAACCUAAUUACACUUAAUUAACACUAAUCAACCUUUAAGUAUAAUUAGCGCACUAAGAAGGCAUUAGUGAGUAAAACUCACUCAAAACGACGGGCUCGACGCGAGGAUCAACUUUCCUCAAAGCGGGCCGAGCAUCCAGGCUCGGGAAAACGGCCAA
rnacentral:lncRNA from 1 species